rnacentral:snRNA from 1 species
GGAUGUAAGGGCGAUCUGGCUGUGACAUCUGUCGCCCCAUUGAUCGCCAGGGUUCCUCACCGUUCCAUGUGCAUCCCUCCCAAAGCUAAACGCUCGGUGGAAGAGGACAGUUGAUUCGGCUGAUCUGGCUGGCUAGGCAGGUGUCACCUUCCUUCCUCACCGCUCCAUGUGCAUCCCUCCCAAAGCUAAACACUCGGUGGAAGAGGACGACCUUCCUUGAUAGAGGAGAGGACCGUUCUUCAGUCAAGGGUAUAUGAGUAGCUGCGCUCCCCUGCUAGAACCUCCAAACAAACUCUCAAGAGAUCUGCCUUGAACUGGGUAAUUAAACCUCCAGUCAACACCUUCUCUCCUUUCCAACUACAAAGCAAGGUUAAGUAGGAGAAG